rnacentral:rRNA from 1 species
CAUAUCAAUAAGCGGAGGAAAAGAAACCAACAGGGAUUGCCCCAGUAACGGCGAGUGAAGCGGCAACAGCUCAAAUUUGAAAUCUGGCCCCCAGGGUCCGAGUUGUAAUUUGUAGAGGAUGCUUUGGGCGAGGUGCCUUCCGAGUUCCCUGGAACGGGACGCCACAGAGGGUGAGAGCCCCGUAUGGUCGGACACCGAGCCUCUGUAAAGCUCCUUCGACGAGUCGAGUAGUUUGGGAAUGCUGCUCAAAAUGGGAGGUAUAUGUCUUCUAAAGCUAAAUACUGGCCAGAGACCGAUAGCGCACAAGUAGAGUGAUCGAAAGAUGAAAAGCACUUUGAAAAGAGGGUUAAAAAGUACGUGAAAUUGUUGAAAGGGAAGCGCCCAUGACCAGACUUGGGCCCGGUGAAUCAUCCGGCGUUCUCGCCGGUGCACUUUGCCGGGCACAGGCCAGCAUCAGUUUGGGGCGGGGGACAAAGGCUCUGGGAAUGUGGCUCCCUCGGGAGUGUUAUAGCCCACCGCGUAAUACCCUGCGCCGGACUGAGGUACGCGCAUUCGCAAGGAUGCUGGCGUAAUGGUCAUCAGCGACCCGUCUUGAAACACGGACCAAGGAGUCGUCUUCGUAUGCGAGUGUUCGGGUGUCAAACCCCUACGCGGAAUGAAAGUGAACGCAGGUGAGAGCUUCGGCGCAUCAUCGACCGAUCCUGAUGUCUUCGGAUGGAUUUGAGUAAGAGCAUACGGGGCCGGACCCGAAAGAAGGUGAACUAUGCCUGUAUAGGGUGAAGCCAGAGGAAACUCUGGUGGAGGCUCGCAGCGGUUCUGACGUGCGAAUCGAUCGUCAAAUAUGGGCAUGGGGGCGAAAGACUAAUCGAACCUUCUAGUAGCUGGUUU